rnacentral:lncRNA from 1 species
AUUACUGUUAUUCAGCGUAUUGGUGGUGUUACUCUGAGGGCUGUUUCUCAGGGUACCGGUACUCAGAGGGCUGUUAUUCAGCGUAUUGGUGGUGUUACUCUGAGGGCUGUUUCUCAAGGUACCGGUACUCAGAGGGCUGUUAUUUGGGGUAUUGGUGGUGUUACUCUGAGGGCUGUUUCUCAGGGUACUGGUACUCAGAGGGCUGUUAUUCAGCGUAUUGGUGGUGUUACUCUGAGGGCUGUUUCUCAGGGUACCGGUACUCAGAGGGCUGUUAUUUGGGGUAUUGGUGGUGUUACUCUGAGGGCUGUUUCUCAGGGUACCGGUACUCAGAGGGCUGUUAUUUGGGGUAUUGGUGGUGUUACUCUGAGGGCUGUUUCUCAGGGUACCGGUACUCAGAGGGCUGUUACUUGGGGUAUUGGUGGUGUUACUCUGAGGGCUGUUUCUCAGGGUACUGGUACUCAGAGGGCUGUUACUUGGGGUAUUGGUGGUGUUACUCUGAGGGCUGUUUCUCAGGGUACCGGUACUCAGAGGGCUGUUAUUCAGCGUAUUGGUGGUGUUACUCUGAGGGCUGUUUCUCAGGGUACCGGUACUCAGAGGGCUGUUACUUGGGGUAUUGGUGGUGUUACUCUGAGGGCUGUUUCUCAGGGUACUGGUGCUCAGAGGGCUGUUACUUGGGGUAUUGGGGUGUCUGCGUCUCUCCAGCACCUGCUGACAGGGCAGCGCAGCGUGUGGGGGAGGCGAGGCUGGCGAAAGCAAAUUAACCGAGGAUUCCCGGAGGUGGCUGCCCACACAGCCGCAGACACAGAGACACUGCGUUGCCACUCACACACCCGCCUUGCCUUCCCUCUCCAUGCACACCUCUCUGGAAUCACGUAUCAACCCAGUGGGCUGGAUUCCAGACGGGGCUGGGGGUGCAUGAAUACACACCUCUGUGGGUGCAUGUGUGUGAAUACACACCUCUGUGUGUGUGAAUACACACCUGUGUGUGCAUGUGUGUGAAUACACGCCUCUGUGUGUGUGUGAAUACACACCUAUGUAUGUGCAUGUAUACAUGCUUCUGUGUAUGCCUGUGUGUGAAUACAUGCCUCCGUGUGUGCAUGUGUGAAUACACACCUACGUGUGUGCGUAAAUACACAAAUCCCUGUGUGUGCAUG